AGUGGCGGACGGGUGAGUAACGCGUGGGUAACCUGCCUCAUACAGGGGGAUAACAGUUAGAAAUGACUGCUAAUACCGCAUAAGACCACAGCACCGCAUGGUGCAGGGGUAAAAACUCCGGUGGUAUGAGAUGGACCCGCGUCUGAUUAGGUAGUUGGUGGGGUAACGGCUUACCAAGCCGACGACCAGUAGCCGACCUGAGAGGGUGACCGGCCACACUGGGACUGAGACACGGCCCAA
rnacentral:rRNA from 1 species